rnacentral:rRNA from 1 species
AACGAACGCUGGCGGCGCGCCUAAUACAUGCAAGUCGAGCGAGAAGGUGUAGCAAUACACUUGUAAAGCGGCGAACGGGUGAGGAAUGCAUGGGUAACCUACCCUCGAGUGGGGAAUAACUAGCCGAAAGGUUAGCUAAUACCGCAUACGUUUCCGGAACUUCGGUUUCGGAAAGAAAGCAAUACCGUGGGUAUUGCGCUCAUGGAUGGGCUCAUGUCCUAUCAGCUUGUUGGUGAGGUAACGGCUCACCAAGGCUUCGACGGGUAGCUGGUCUGAGAGGACGAUCAGCCACACUGGCACUGCGACACGGGCCAGACUCCUACGGGAGGCAGCAGUAAGGAAUAUUGCGCAAUGGACGAAAGUCUGACGCAGCGACGCCGCGUGGGGGGAUGAAGGUCUUCGGAUUGUAAACCCCCUUUCGGGAGGGAAGAUGGAGUGGGUAACCACUUGGACGGUACCUCCAGAAGCAGCCACGGCUAACUUCGUGCCAGCAGCCGCGGUAAU